UACGUAGGGUGCGAGCGUUAAUCGGAAUUACUGGGCGUAAAGCGUGCGCAGGCGGUUCGUUGUGUCGGUGGUGAAAGCCCCGGGCUCAACCUGGGAAUUGCAUUUGAGACUGCGUAGCUAGGGUGCGGAAGAGGGAAGCGGAAUUUCCGGUGUAGCGGUGAAAUGCGUAGAUAUCGGAAGGAACACCAGUGGCGAAAGCGGCUUCCUGGUCCAGCACCGACGUUCAGGCACGAAAGCGUGGGGAGCAAACAGG
rnacentral:rRNA from 1 species